GGAGCGGUGGCCGAGUGGCUGAAGGCGCACCCCUGCUAAGGGUGUAUACGUUUACGCGUAUCGAGGGUUCGAAUCCCUCUCGCUCCGCCA
rnacentral:tRNA from 17 species